AAGCGUUGUCCGGAAUCAUUGGGCGUAAAGCGCGCGCAGGCGGUCCCUUAAGUCUGAUGUGAACGCCCACGGCUCAACCGUGGAGGGUCAUUGGAAACUGGGGGACUUGAGUGCAGAAAAGGAAAGCGGAAUUCCAAGUGUAGCGGUGAAAUGCGUAAAGAUUUGGAGGAACACCAGUGGCGAAGGCGGCUUUCUGGUCUGUAACUGACGCUGAGGCGCGAAAGCGUGGGGAGCAAACAGGAUUAUAUACCCUGGUAGUCCACGCCGUAAACGAUGAGUGCUAAGUGUUAGGGGGUUUCCCCCCCUUAGUGCUGCAGCUAACGCAUUUAAGCACUCCGCCUGGGGGAGUACGGUCCCAAGACUGAAACUCAAAGGAAUUGACGGGGGGCCCCCACAAACGGGGGGAGCAUUGUGUUUUUAUUUCGAAGCAACGCGAGAAAACCUUUACCCGUUCUUGUCAUCCCCCCCACCGCCUAGGAGACUAGGCCUUCCCUUCGGGGACGGCGGUGACAGGUGGUGCAUGGUUGUCGUCAGCUCGUGUCGUGAGAUGUUGGGUUAGGUCCCGCAACGAGCGCAACCCUUGAUCUUAGUUGCCAGCAUUCAGUUGGGCACUCUAAGGUGACUGCCGGUGACAAACCGGAGGAAGGUGGGGAUGACGUCAAAUCAUCAUGCCCCUUAUGACCUGGGCUACACACGUGCUACAAUGGAUGGUACAAAGGGCUGCGAACCCGCGAGGGGGAGCCAAUCCCAUAAAACCAUUCUCAGUUCGGAUUGUAGGCUGCAACUCGCCUACAUGAAGCUGGAAUCGCUAGUAAUCGUGGAUCAGCAUGCCACGGUGAAUACGUUCCCGGGCCUUGUACACACCGCCCGUCACACCACGAGAGUUUGUAACACCCGAAGUCGGUGGGGUAACCUUUAUGGGGCCAGCCGCCGAAGGUGGGACAGAUGAUUGGGGUGAAGUCGUAACAAGGUAACCGA
rnacentral:rRNA from 1 species